rnacentral:ncRNA from 2 species
AAUGUGACAUAGAGGCCGCGGUUGUUAUAAGUACUGACUACAGGAAAGGAACACCCGCCGAAAUACAUAAAAUUUAAUUUUAUGUAUUGGGAUUAUACUGAAUAAGUAUAGUACUGUCUUUGAAAAAUUGCCCGAUUUUUUAAAGGAGUGCUUGUCAUAUU